rnacentral:rRNA from 1 species
UACGUAGGGCGCAAGCGUUGUCCGGAAUUAUUGGGCGUAAAGAGCUCGUAGGCGGUGUGUCGCGUCGGCCGUGAAAACCUGCAGCUUAACUGUGGGCUUGCGGUCGAUACGGGCAUCACUGGAGUUCGGCAGGGGAGACUGGAAUUCCUGGUGUAGCGGUGAAUGCGCAGAUAAUCAGGAGGAACACCGGUGGCGAAGGCGGGUCUCUGGGCCGAUGACUGACGCUGAGGAGCGAAAGCGUGG